UUGGCUCAGGAUGAACGCUGGCGGCACGCUUAACACAUGCAAGUCGAACGGAGUUUUGAGAGCUUGCUCUCAAAGCUUAGUGGCGGACGGGUGAGUAACACGUGAGCAACCUACCUUCAAGCGGGGAAUAAUGGAGGGAAACUUCCACUAAUACCCCAUAAGAUAGUAUUUCCGCAUGGAGAAGCUAUCAAAGAUUUAUUGUUUGAAGAUGGGCUCGCGUCCGAUUAGCCAGUUGGUGAGGUAACGGCCCACCAAAGCGACGAUCGGUAGCCGUACUGAGAGGUAGAACGGCCACAUUGGGACUGAGACACGGCCCAGACUCCUACGGGAGGCAGCAGUGGGGAAUA
rnacentral:rRNA from 1 species